GCUAUACAUGCAGUCGAGCGGACAGAAGGGAGCUUGCUCCCGGAUGUUAGCGGCGGACGGGUGAGUAACACGUGGGUAACCUGCCUGUAAGACUGGGAUAACUCCGGGAAACCGGAGCUAAUACCGGAUAGUUCCUUGAACCGCAUGGUUCAAGGAUGAAAGACGGUUUCGGCUGUCACUUACAGAUGGACCCGCGGCGCAUUAGCUAGUUGGUGAGGUAACGGCUCACCAAGGCGACGAUGCGUAGCCGACCUGAGAGGGUGAUCGGCCACACUGGGACUGAGACACGGCCCAGACUCCUACGGGAGGCAGCAGUAGGGAAUCUUCCGCAAUGGACGAAAGUCUGACGGAGCAACGCCGCGUGAGUGAUGAAGGUUUUCGGAUCGUAAAGCUCUGUUGUUAGGGAAGAACAAGUGCAAGAGUAACUGCUUGCACCUUGACGGUACCUAACCAGAAAGCCACGGCUAACUACGUGCCAGCAGCCGCGGUAAUACGUAGGUGGCAAGCGUUGUCCGGAAUUAUUGGGCGUAAAGGGCUCGCAGGCGGUUUCUUAAGUCUGAUGUGAAAGCCCCCGGCUCAACCGGGGAGGGUCAUUGGAAACUGGGAAACUUGAGUGCAGAAGAGGAGAGUGGAAUUCCACGUGUAGCGGUGAAAUGCGUAGAGAUGUGG
rnacentral:rRNA from 1 species